CUGUUCGCCGAGCUGGAAGGAAAUGUGAUGGCAGCAGAGAAUGAAAAGCCCCUCUUCCUGCCCGGAGGCUAUGGACAAAGUCGGAAAUGAGCUUUGGAGUUUAGUGGAGAGCAUCUGUGGGACUAAUACCAUCGCCACCACCAUCGGCACCAUCACUGUCUCCAACACCGUCAUCUGUAUCAACACCAGCAGCACCAUCACCAGCACUGGUAUUAUCAGCAUCACUGUCACCACUCUAUCAUCAUGACUGGCACCAUCGGCAUGACUGUCCUCGUUCCAGACUUUCAGCAUCAUCACCUCCGUCAUUACUAUCAUCAGCAUCAGCAUCUUCACC
rnacentral:lncRNA from 1 species